rnacentral:rRNA from 1 species
AUGGCGAUCUCCAAGCUCAUGGCAUUGCUCUUCGCUUUCACGGCUGUGGCAGCGACGCUGCCGCCGUCCGAAGCGAGGGUGAAGGGGUUCACCACCACAACCGCGAACCAAGAAGAAGCAGAUCCUUCGUCCAAGGCCGCCGCCCAGGCCGGAGGCACCCCCGGCUUCUCCCUCCCGCUGCCUCAGAUCCCCGGCCUUCCGCCGUUGUUCGGCGGCUUUCCCUUCCCGCCAUUGCCACAGAUCCCCGGGCUCCCACCGUUGUUCGGGCCGCUCCCCGGCGCGCCAGGCGCUCCACCAGCUCAAGGCCUGCCCGGCCUCCCACACUUCCCGCGCAGCGCUGGCUCUGCUGCCGCCCCAUCGCCGCCACCGCCCGCGGAGUGCCUGACGCCAUUGAUGCAGAUGGCGCCAUGCGUGGACUACCUCACCAACAUCACCGUCGUCACGCUCCCGGCCACGUGCUGCGACGGCCUCAAGUCGGUCAUCAGCGGCGCGCCCAUCUGCCUCUGUCACGGCAUGAACGGCGGCAUGAGCAAGCUCUUCCCGACGCCCAUCGAUCCGAUCCGGAUGCUCAUCCUGCCGCUCGGGUGCGGCGCCAUGCUGCCACUAGGGACGCUUCUCACGUGCUCCGCUCAACCCCUGCCGCCGCUGGCGCCCCCUACUUCUCCCGUGUCUCCGGCGCCUGCUGGUUCUCCCGUGUCAGCACCUACAGAGGCUUCACCAUAA